CAAUGCUGGACCUGGGAUUGGAUUCUCAGUAGUCCUUGCAGGAGGCGGCCUGCUCCCAAACCCAAAGAUUCCAGACACCCUGCAGGGCCACAUUUAUGAUAGACCCUAAAGUGCCCUCUCCUUAGGCCCCUGUCUUGUUCAGGAGAAUAUUGACAGCUCAGUAUUCUGAAGGGCUUAAGGACUUUGAGAGAUAAGACAGUCUGGCUUUUAUAGACUACCACAAGGCCCCAGUGAUGUAGUUGUUUACAGAAAUACUUGUGUCAGUAAUCAGGUAUUUUUCAGAUGUGGGCAACAAAUCCCCAUCACCCUACCCUGAACCACUUUACUGUCCCCCAGGCUCCAAGCCCAGGGCCCUCUCCCCAUUUCCAGGCCUCAGGGCCUGCCUUAUCCAGGGCUGGGGAUGGAGGCUAGAGAGUGACACAGAUCAACUUGUAAGUUGUCAGUUGACCAUUUAAUGAAAAUCUACACUGAAUAAUCCUUUGCCAAGUGAAUAGCCCCAGAAUUUGUUUUGUGGUGUAAUAAGGGUUGCCAAAUGCCUUAGUUUACAUACAACAGCCUGGCAUAUAUUCAGCGAGGCAUGACUCUAGGCACUUUAUGGGCCAAAUUUAGGCAGUUAUCAUGAUUCCUAUUUCAGAGAUGAAGAAACUGAGGCCUUGGUCAGUGACUUGAAAAGUCACAUAGCUAGAAAAUGGCCAAGAUUUGGAUCCAGGACUGCCUAACUUCAAUGUUCUGGCUCACUGAUUCUCAAACAUUAGUAUUUGGGUCGCGAGAUGGAAAUUUACCAAAAAUGCAGAUUCCCGGUCCCAUCUGGGCCGGGAAAUCAGCAUUCCGAACUUUAGGGGACUCCAGGGGUCUCUCUCUCUCCACCUGAAGAAUUUGGGGGAUUUUGCGAAUGACCUGAAGCCUGAGAGGAAGUGCAACACUGUAGGGCUCUCAGGAGCGGGUACCCUGCUGACGCCUGUGACUAGGCCUAACCGUCUGGGUUCUGCGGCCCAGUGCUCUAGACUCUCACCUGCCCGGAGGUGCGUUUGGGGUCCCGAUUGGCCGAUGAAUAUGUAUAUCCGCAGCGCCUCCUUCACUCCGAAGACUUUAACUUUCCCCCUUGCACAAAACCGAACAUCCCACCCCACCCCCACCUCCAAGCUAAAAUACCUGGGCCGCCCCUCCCCUCGAAGGGACGCGCUCCAGGCGAAUGGGGAGGGCCCGGAAGUCGGGCCCGGGACAGAGGAGCCGGCCCACCGCCUCCCGGUCGGAAGCGGCAGUGCAGGUGAGGCCGCGGCCAGCCUGGGGACUGCGCGGGUAAGGAGCGGGAGGGCUGGCUGCACCUCGAAGUUGGCGGGGGACGGCCGCGCACGCCUCGCCUCGGCCUUCCUGCCCCGUAGGGGCUGGCCGCCCUCCCGCCACCCCUGGGCACCUGCCGACCACGUCUGGGCGGGGGCGGGCCGGCUCCCGCCCUCGGGCCCUCACCGCACCCCGGCCAGCCGCGGCGGGGACGCCGGGUCAGCGAAGGGUUAAGGGACUUGCUCCCUCCUCUCGGCUCCCUCACCCUUGGAAAGUCCCCGAAAUGACGUUUCAACCCGACAAUUUAAAAAAGAGUUUAAUUAUAGAGACAGGCUCUGGGAGCUGGAACAAACCCUCGGUCGGCGGGGCCGGUAAACAACUCGGGAGCGAGCGGGCUAGGCCAGCCGCAGCCUUGCGGAGCCCGCGCCCCUGGGGAGAGGGGGAGGGGAGGGCCGCCGGGAGUUGGAAAAGCCGAGGAAAUUCGAGGAAUCAGCUUUCUUUGGAAAAACCCACUUUGUAGCCAUUCUGGGGCGCCUGAUGGUGCUCCUGGCCGGUCCCGCAGCCUUAGAGGGAAAGCGGCGCCGCCCGAAGCAGGGGCACAGCCGGUGCCCCGCGGGGACAGGCCCUGGGCCGGGAAGGGGCCCCGCCCGCUCCCAGUCCCCUUCCCCUUUGCUUUUUUUCAGCCCCUCCUCCGGUCUCCCAAGCUGAGCUUCGCGAACCCUCGGGAGUUAAAGACCCGCCGGCCCUUUCUUUUUGGGGGGUGGGGGAGCAGGAAUGGGUGGAGGCCGGGGGAAUAAAAAACCGAAAUAGCUUCACAUCAGAACUCAGACUAACCUUGUGGUUUCAACGCGCACCCUGCUCUGUCCUGAAAUCUGGAACUCAUUACCUCAUCACUGCACGAAAUCUUCCCCCCCGCCCCAACACCCACUUGGGCUGGGAAAAGAACGAGCAAACAUCCCUCUAAGAAAGAAACCUACACUUGAAUGAUUUAAAUUAAGGUGGAUGGAAGUUAUUUCCCUUUCUGGCGCUUGCCAGAUUUCAAGAAAAGCUGAAAAAUGGGAGCAGGGGGAGAGAAGCAACAGGCGGCUGCAGGGCAGCAGCCAGGUUAAAGUGAGGGCCAUCCAUUUCAGGCAGAGGAGACGAACGAAAGCCGACCCCGCUGGGAUCACGUAGGUUCGUGGCUGCAGCAAAAGUUGUGUUUCGCAAAGUUGAAAAACAACCGGUUUCUCAAACAGUUGUGAUUUGGAAGGUUUCGCUGGGUUUGCCCAGAUGUUGACGAAUAAAUAAGAAAUGCA